rnacentral:rRNA from 1 species
UACGUAGGUGGCAAGCGUUGUCCGGAUUUACUGGGCGUAAAGAGCGCGCAGGCGGUUAAUUAAGUCGAAUGUGAAAGCCCCCGGCUCAACUGGGGAGGGUCAUUCGAUACUGAUUGACUUGAAGGCAGGAGAGGGUAGUGGAAUUCCCGGUGUGGUGGUGAAAUGCGUAGAUAUCGGGAGGAACACCAGUGGCGAAGGCGACUACCUGGCCUGUUCUUGACGCUGAGGCGCGAAAGCUGGGGGAGCAAACGGG